rnacentral:rRNA from 1 species
UACGUAGGGGGCAAGCGUUGUCCGGAAUCAUUGGGCGUAAAGCGCGCGCAGGCGGUCCUUUAAGUCUGAUGUGAAAGCCCACGGCUCAACCGUGGAGGGUCAUUGGAAACUGGGGGACUUGAGUGCAGGAGAGAAGAGUGGAAUUCCACGUGUAGCGGUGAAAUGCGUAGAGAUGUGGAGGAACACCAGUGGCGAAGGCGAGUCCCUGGACAGUUCCUGACACUGAGACACGAAGGCCAGGGGAGCAAACGGG